AUUGAACGCUGGCGGCAUGCCUUACACAUGCAAGUCGAACGGCAGCACGGGAGCAAUCCUGGUGGCGAGUGGCGAACGGGUGAGUAAAGUAUCGGAACGUGCCCAGUCGUGGGGGAUAACGUAGCGAAAGCUACGCUAAUACCGCAUACGAUCUAUGGAUGAAAGCGGGGGAUCGCAAGACCUCGCGCGUUUGGAGCGGCCGAUAUCAGACUAGGUAGUUGGUGAGGUAAAGGCUCACCAAGCCGACGAUCUGUAGCUGGUCUGAGAGGACGGCCAGCCACACGGGGACUGAGAGACGGCCCAGACUCCUACGGGAGGCAGCAGGGGGGAAUUUUGGACAAGGGGCGCAAGCCUGAUCCAGCAAUGCCGCGUGCAGGAUGAAGGCAUUCGGGUUGUAAACUGCUUUUGUACGGAGCGAAAAGGCUUCCACUAAUACUGGGGGCUCAUGACGGUACCGUAAGAAUAAGCACCGGCUAACUACGUGCCAGCAGCCGCCGUAAAAC
rnacentral:rRNA from 1 species